ACUACGAGCAAAGCUUAAAACCCAAAGGACUUGACGGUACCCCACAUCCACCUAGAGGAGCCUGUCCUAUAAUCGAUAACCCCCGCUAAACCUCACCAUUUUUAGCCAAUCAGCCUGUAUACCUCCGUCGUCAGCUUACCUCGUGAGCGAUAGCUAGUGAGCUUAAUGUCCUUACAUCAAUACGUCAGGUCAAGGUGCAGUAUAUAAAUGGGAAGAGAUGGGCUACACUCUCUAAUUUAGAACACACGAAAGACUACCUAUGAAACCUAGUCAGAAGGCGGAUUUACAAGUAAAGAGAGAUCAUAGAGCUCUUUUUAACCCGGACUGGGGUGCGUACACACCGCCCGUCACCCUCUUCAAAGCCAAAUAACAGUAAAUAACUCAAUCUAGCAUCCUAGAAGAGGCAAGUCGUAACAUGGUAA
rnacentral:rRNA from 1 species